rnacentral:misc_RNA from 1 species
UCGAGUUCUGACUGGGUUGUAGCUGGCCUUCCGAGGCACGUGCACGCCCUGCUCAUCCACUCUACACCUGUGCACUUACUGUGGGUUUCAGAUCUGUGAAGCGUGCCCCUUGCGGGGCUUCGUGAAGCGCGUCUGUGCCUGCGUUUAUCACAAACUCUAUAAAGUAUUAGAAUGUGUAUUGCGAUGUAACGCAUCUAUAUA